GAUGAACGCUAGCUACAGGCUUAACACAUGCAAGUCGAGGGGUAGCAGGGUAGCAAUACCGCUGACGACCGGCGCACGGGUGAGUAACACGUAUCCAACCUUCCCAUUACUCGGGGAUAGCCUUUCGAAAGAAAGAUUAAUACCCGAUAGUACUUUUUCGAGGCAUCUCGUAAAAAGUUAAAGAUUUAUUGGUAAUGGAUGGGGAUGCGUUCCAUUAGAUUGUUGGUGAGGUAACGGCUCACCAAGUCUUCGAUGGAUAGGGGUUCUGAGAGGAAGGUCCCCCACAUGGGUACUGAGACACGGACCAAACUCCGACGGGAGGCAGCAGUGAGGAAUAUUGGUCAAUGGGCGAGAGCCUGAACCAGCCAAGUAGCGUGAAGGAUGAAGGUCCUAUGGAUUGUAAACUUCUUUUAUAGUAGAAUAAAGUGAGCCACGUGUGGUUUUUUGUAUGUAUACUAUGAAUAAGGAUCGGCUAACUCCGUGCCAGCAGCCGCGGUUA
rnacentral:rRNA from 1 species